CAUCAUUCAACGACGCCAUCCACGCUCCUCUGGAAAACAGAGACAAUGAAAACAACAGAUAAUUGCAACAGAGUGACACUAGUCUAUCUGACAGCACUAAUUCCAUUAGUAGCAAUGGAAACCACAGCACGCAAUUCAAGGACUGGCUCAUUUGCACGUUGUUCGUCAUGUUUUAAGGAUGAAAGUCCAUGUGACAUCAAUAGUACAACGCUCUACGACAACCACACUAUCGUGCAAUGUAGCAAAGCUGAUGAAG